GGGCUAGCAUCACAGCUGGCUAGCUCCUUCAGCUAAGCUCAGCUAGCAUCUGUUGUGUUAUGAUAGGAUGCUAGCGCUUCCACAGUUUUCUAGCUAGCAUCAGUUUUGAGUAUAUCGUUAUCAACUCACCCACUGAACACAUUCAAGCCAAGUGCAGUACCCAUUGUCUGUACCAUACUUUUAUACAUAUAUAAAUACAUAUAAAUAUUAAUAUAUAUAUAUAUCAAGCUAGGGUGUUUUAUUUAUUGCAUUUAUCUCACUCCCUCCACUAUUUAAUGUGGCUUUUUAUUUGUUUAGCUCAUGAUGUAUUGUGCUUUAAUAUCUCUCUGCCGUUGCUUUGUCCUGCUUUAACCUGCUUCUCUAGUAGAUCUGCACUUCAGCACCACUGCACCAGAGGUUGAAAUAGAGGAUUAGACUGGAACAGAGGUUGAAAUAGAGGAUUAGACUGGAACAGAGGUCGAAAUAGAGGAUUAGACUGGAACAGAGGUCGAAAUAGAGGAUUAGACUGGAACAGAGGUCGAAAUAGAGGAUUAGACUGGAACAGAGGUCGAAAUAGAGGAUUAGACUGGAACAGAGGUCGAAAUAGAGGAUUAGACUGGAACAGAGGUCGAAAUAGAGGAUUAGACUGGAACAGAGGUCGAAAUAGAGGAUUAGACUGGAACAGAGGUCGAAAUAGAGGAUUAGACUGGAACAGAGGUCGUAAUAGAG